rnacentral:lncRNA from 1 species
AUUUGUUUUACAGACGAGGAGAGCACUUCGCCUCCUCUUCUUCCUCAGCAACUCCGCUUGUCCCCUGGCCAGGCACUGGGGACGUGAGAGAAAGGGGACCCACACCGGCAGUGCCUUCGCUUUUGUGGAGGUCACGGCCCCCGGGAAGGUUACACACAGGAGACAGCGCGGAAGGGAAACCAGGAAGUGACAAACCCCACCAGGGCAGUAAGACCAGGUGAGUGCCCAGGACCAGGGCUUCCGUGCAGGGUGGAGCCAGGCAAGGGGGCAGAAG